rnacentral:lncRNA from 1 species
CAUAGCGACAGUGCUAUAUCAGCCCAAGGAGUCAAACAGAGAGGGAUACUUAAACAAAUAUACACCUCAGUGGAGGUGGCUAGUGGUGGAUGUUUACCUUGUUGCUUGAAUUUGUGGCAAGGUAAAUAUCAACCACUGGCCACAGACACUGAGGUGAAUAGUUGUUUUAGUAUAUACAAAAGUGUGAAAAAACAUAGCACAAAAUGAUGCUUCUAACUUACCAAUUCCUGCAAUGAUCACAUUAUUUUAAAGUGCAAAUCCGAUGAGAAUUGUCAGGAGGCGAAUAGCUAAAACUCAAAUCAAACGUUGAGUUGCCAAUCAGGGUGCACCUUCAAUGCUAUCAACUGUUUUAGUACAUACUAACAUUUUUCUUUUUCUUACCUUUUAAUUAAUAAAAGUGUAUUAUUGUCAUUAUUAUCAUCAUUAGGCAACCAGACAUUUUGCACAAAAGAGUUUUUGCACAAGUCUUUCUGCACAAGUCUUUUUGCACAAGUCUUUUUGCACAAGUUUUGGACCGGCCGCACAACUAUUAGUAGUUAUUUCACACAAUAAUUGUAUGUUGAUAAAUAUCAACAUAAAAGAUAUACUGAUUUAUACUGAUAAGAUAUUUCACCUUCACAUGUCACUUUCAUUAAAAUCCAACAGAGAGACUGUCGAUAUUUAUUUACGUAAUAAUGUUAAAGUACACAUGACUCGAAAUUUUACCCCCCUUGUUUUUCUUACAUUCAAAAAUAUAUGUUAUGUGAAGUAUUUUAGCCAAAAAAAGUAAGUCCCAACGUUUCACGAACACAUUUUGAAAUGCGAUUAAAGUUCACAUUUUUUCUGCAAAAUAUGGGAAAAGAGCCUGGGAACAAAUAAUAGAGCUGUCACGUCACUGAUUGUGUUGGAGAUGUUGUUCCCAGUGAUCAAGCUGUUGUUUUGAGUUAUUCUACUUGUCGUUUACGAGCUAAAUAUGUCGGAAACCGAUCACAGCGAUCAAGAGUUCUCUUGUACAUCAUCUGAGGAUGAUGUAGAAUCAUUCUCAAGUUCUGAAGAAGUCAGUACAGGCAUCAUGGGCGAGAUAGUCGCUUACCAAGAUGAGCCUUUGGCAAACUCCGAUGAGAGUGACAGCAACGGACAAGAAGAGGAAUGACGAGGAUGAAGAUGGCUUAUCUUCUGCCACUUUAUUGUGAAGAUUUGAGAAAACGGACCCUGCCAGUACGUGGUGUUCCAUUACCCAGUGCAGUGAUGCUAUGCUGGUCUCAGCUCGCGAGUUUAGGUGCUGCAUGGAAGUGGACUGUGCACAUGGAAAACUUACAUUUGAUGGAAGUAUUGAAUGGAUAUUGUGCAUCACACAGUCCGGAGACAUGUGGCACCAUUACUUUGGGGCAGAAAUGGGAAAACGUACCGCCGCAGAAAUGGCACCUCUGAAAACGAAUUUCUUAGAGCUACAGCCUACAGGUGGCUGGUUCAAUGGAUCUUCAGCUACUUGGGCUGGAAGAAUAGUAGGCCAUUGCCAGCAUGUGUGUACCACAAUAACAGAUCUAGGUGUGAGUCCCACAGCAUAACUGGAUAUACAUCAGCAGAAGAAAGGAACUGAGAUGUAAUCAUUAUUGUCCUAUUAUUUCUAAUAGAAUUUUACAAAUAAAUUUGAAUUGAC